CGGCGGACGGGUUAGUAACGCGUGGGAAUGUACCCUUCACUUCGGAAUAGUCCCGGGAAACUGGGUUUAAUACCGUAUACGCCCUUUGGGGGAAAGAUUUAUCGGUGAAGGAUCAGCCCGCGUCUGAUUAGAUAGUUGGUGGGGUAAUGGCCUACCAAGUCUACGAUCAGUAGCUGGUUUGAGAGGAUGAUCAGCAACACUGGGACUGAGACACGGCCCAGACUCCUACGGGAGGCAGCAGUGGGGAAUCUUAGACAAUGGGCGCAAGCCUGAUCUAGCCAUGCCGCGUGAGUGAUGAAGGCCUUAGGGUCGUAAAGCUCUUUCGCUGGGGAAGAUAAUGACGGUACCCAGUAAAGAAACCCCGGCUAACUCCGUGCCAGCAGCCGCGGUAAUACGGAGGGGGUUAGCGUUGUUCGGAAUUACUGGGCGUAAAGCGCGCGUAGGCGGAUUGGAAAGUUGGGGGUGAAAUCCCGGGGCUCAACCCCGGAACUGCCUCCAAAACUAUCAGUCUAGAGGUCGAGAGAGGUGAGUGGAAUUCCGAGUGUAGAGGUGAAAUUCGUAGAUAUUCGGAGGAACACCAGUGGCGAAGGCGGCUCACUG
rnacentral:rRNA from 1 species